rnacentral:rRNA from 1 species
UACGUAGGGCGCAAGCGUUAUCCGGAAUUAUUGGGCGUAAAGAGCUCGUAGGCGGUUUGGCGAGUCUGCUGUGAAAGUCCGAGGCUCAACCUCGGAUCUGCGGUGGGUACGGGCAGACUAGAGUGAUGUAGGGGAGACUGGAAUUCCUGGUGUAGCGGUGAAAUGCGCAGAUAUCAGGAGGAACACCGAUGGCGAAGGCAGGUCUCUGGGCAUUAACUGACGCUGAGGAGCGAAAGCAUGGGGAGCGAACAGG